GGACGAACGCUGGCGGCGUGCCUAAUACAUGCAAGUAGAACGCUGAAGGAGGAGCUUGCUCUUCUGGAUGAGUUGCGAACGGGUGAGUAACGCGUAGGUAACCUGCCUGGUAGCGGGGGAUAACUAUUGGAAACGAUAGCUAAUACCGCAUAACAACAGUUGUUGCAUGACAGCUGUUUAAAAGAUGCAAUUGCAUCACUACCAGAUGGACCUGCGUUGUAUUAGCUAGUUGGUGAGGUAACGGCUCACCAAGGCAACGAUACAUAGCCGACCUGAGAGGGUGAUCGGCCACACUGGGACUGAGACACGGCCCAGACUCCUACGGGAGGCAGCAGUAGGGAAUCUUCGGCAAUGGACGGAAGUCUGACCGAGCAACGCCGCGUGAGUGAAGAAGGUUUUCGGAUCGUAAAGCUCUGUUGUAAGAGAAGAACGAGUGUGAGAGUGGAAAGUUCACACUGUGACGGUAUCUUACCAGAAAGGGACGGCUAACUACGU
rnacentral:rRNA from 1 species